GACACAAUAAUACGAUCGUUUACUGUGAUUGUUCAUUUGCCUGAUUAUUUGAUAAGUUUUUUGCUGUCGAAAUUGCAUUGUCGAUAUUUAGGUAGUUGAGUCGUUGGAGUUUUAGAAAGUUUGUGGAAAGGCGAAGUUUGAUUCGAAUUAUGGCAGCUGAGGAGACUUUUGAACAGUUUGAGGAUGAAGAGACAGAACUGCCAAUUGGAGGAACUCUCCCGGGUGGGCGAAAGCGUCUCUUUUCAAAGGAACUUCGAUGCAUGAUGUACGGUUUUGGUGAUGAUCAGAAUCCUUACACCGAGAGUGUUGAUCUGCUGGAGGAUCUCGUCAUCGAGUACAUCACAGAGAUGACCCACAGAGCCAUGGAGAUUGGGAGAACUGGACGAGUGCAGGUGGAGGACAUAGUUUUUCUUGUGAGGAAAGAUGCUAGGAAGUAUGCCAGGGUCAAGGACCUUCUGACAAUGAACGAAGAGCUGAAGAAAGCAAGAAAAGCCUUCGACGAAGUCAAAUAUGCAGAAUUUAUCGAUGCGCUUGUAUCGUUCGAGUGAUGUUUGUGAUGCCCAUUAUUAUACCAAUAUUUGACAACGUAUAAAGUUCGUUUGAAUAGGCCAAUUUCUAGAAAUUACAAUUUUUACACAAGGACUCGCAUGGCUCCAGGGCAUGAAGUUAUUGCAACAAAUUAUAAAAAAGCUCAUUUGCAAAUGUAUUCUAUAUUCGUUAGAACAGAAAUAAAAAUAUAUUAAAUUCUUACGAAAUAUCAUGAACGGCCUGUUUCGCCGACAGAAUAACGUCGUUAAGCCCAACGCCUUGAUAAGAGGAGCCACACAGUGUGAGAGGCAUUUUAUGAGCAGUGAUAUAAUUACGUAUUCUCUUGAGUCUUUCCUCGUGACCAACGACAUACUGAGGAAUGCAAUUCUCCAGAAUUUCGAAGUGAGUGUCUGAGGGAUCCACCUUUAUCCCCAGAAUACUUCUCAAUUGAUCGAGAGCUACUGCUACCAUGUAAUCUUGCGAUGAAUUACCACCGAAAUAAUCGUUGAACCAUGCACCACCCAUCAUUACUGUCAGUACCUGUAAGAUAUUUAAAAGUUGAAUAAUUUGUUAAUUUAAAUUCGUUUUUGGUUUAGCGGCGAUGAAGUGAAUAAAUGAAUGUGAAUUUUA